rnacentral:rRNA from 1 species
UACGUAGGGUGCGAGCGUUAAUCGGAAUUACUGGGCGUAAAGCGUGCGCAGGCGGUGAUGUAAGACAGAUGUGAAAUCCCCGGGCUCAACCUGGGAACUGCAUUUGUGACUGCAUCGCUGGAGUGCGGCAGAGGGGGAUGGAAUUCCGCGUGUAGCAGUGAAAUGCGUAGAUAUGCGAAGGAACACCGAUGGCGAAGGCAAUCCCCUGGGCCUGCACUGACGCUCAUGCACGAAAGCGUGGGGAGCAAACAGG